UACGUAGGGGGCAAGCGUUAUCCGGAUUUACUGGGUGUAAAGGGAGCGUAGACGGUCUGGCAAGUCUGAUGUGAAAACCCAGGGCUCAACCUUGGGAUUGCAUUGGAAACUGUCAGACUAGAGUGCAGGAGAGGUAAGUGGAAUUCCUAGUGUAGCGGUGAAAUGCGUAGAUAUUAGGAGGAACACCAGUGGCGAAGGCGGCUUACUGGACUGUAACUGACGUUGAGGCUCGAAAGCGUGGGGAGCAAACAGG
rnacentral:rRNA from 1 species